AGAGUUUGAUCAUGGCUCAGAACGAACGCUGGCGGCAGGCUUAACACAUGCAAGUCGAACGCACCUUCGGGUGAGUGGCAGACGGGUGAGUAACGCGUGGGAACGUGCCCUUCAGUUCGGAAUAACCCAGGGAAACUUGGGCUAAUACCGGAUACGUGCGAGAGCAGAAAGAUUUAUCGCUGAAGGAUCGGCCCGCGUCUGAUUAGCUAGUUGGUGGGGUAAUGGCCCACCAAGGCGACGAUCAGUAGCUGGUCUGAGAGGAUGAUCAGCCACAUUGGGACUGAGACACGGCCCAAACUCCUACGGGAGGCAGCAGUGGGGAAUAUUGGACAAUGGGCGCAAGCCUGAUCCAGCCAUGCCGCGUGAGUGAUGAAGGCCUUAGGGUUGUAAAGCUCUUUCGGCGGGGACGAUAAUGACGGUACCCGCAGAAGAAGCCCCGGCUAACUUCGUGCCAGCAGCCGCGGUAAUACGAAGGGGGCUAGCGUUGUUCGGAAUCACUGGGCGUAAAGGGCGCGUAGGCGGCUUGAUAAGUCGGGGGUGAAAGCCUGUGGCUCAACCACAGAAUUGCCUUCGAUACUGUCUGGCUUGAGACCGGAAGAGGUAAGUGGAACUGCGAGUGUAGAGGUGAAAUUCGUAGAUAUUCGCAAGAACACCAGUGGCGAAGGCGGCUUACUGGUCCGGUUCUGACGCUGAGGGCGAAAGCGUGGGGAGCAAACAGGAUUAGAUACCCUAGUAGUCC
rnacentral:rRNA from 1 species